CAAUAGCGUAUAUUUAAGUUGUUGCAGUUAAAAAGCUCGUAGUUGGAUUUCGGGUGGGACGCAGCGGUCUCGCAUUGCGUUUGUACUGCUGCAGCCCUCCUUCUUGCCGGGGGCGGCCUCUCGGACUUCACUGUCUGGGGGUCAGAAUCGGCGAUGUUACUUUGAGUAAAUUAGAGUGUUCAAAGCAAGCUUACGCUCUGAAUAUAAUAGCUUGGGAUAACACGACAGGACUCUGGCCUAUCGUGUUGGUCUAUAGGACCAGAGUAAUGAUUAAGAGGGACAGUCGGGGGCAUUCGUAUUCCGUUGUCAGAGGUGAAAUUCUUGGAUUUACGGAAGACGAACAUCUGCGAAAGCAUUUGCCAAGGAUGUUUUCAUUGA
rnacentral:rRNA from 1 species